rnacentral:lncRNA from 1 species
AUUGAACUUGAUGGCUAUUCCCAUAUACUGCUCAAUGGGAGCAGAAUCAGCAAUAACUGUUUCCCACUGGAGUAUCACAGUGGACAUUUCAUGCACGGUGUCCCAGGAUGCCCAAGGAAGUACCCCAAAGCACAAGAGAGCUAUACGGUAGAAAAAGCCGUCUAAGGAGUGAAAAGGAACCAUCUGGGCCUACCUUGAAGAGAUUACAGAUCUGGAGCUGCAGAAGGAACCAGAGACCCCAGAGCCUGCCAGGAGCAGAUGUGGAUGGUGACUGA